rnacentral:rRNA from 1 species
AACGAACGUUAGCGGCGCGCCUAACACAUGCAAGUCGAACGCGACAGGGGCAACUCUGUUGAGUGGCGCACGGGUGAGUAACACGUAGGUAAUCUCCCCCCGAGUGGUGGAUAACCUUCCGAAAGGAGGGCUAAUACAGCAUAAGACCACGGCUUCGGAAGGAGCUGAGGUCAAAGCGGAGGAUCGCAAGACUUCGCGCUCGGGGAUGAGCCUGCGGCCCAUCAGGUAGUUGGCGGGGUAACAGCCCACCAAGCCUAAGACGGGUAGCUGGUCUGAGAGGAUGAUCAGCCACACUGGAACUGAGACACGGUCCACACUCCUACGGGAGGCAGCAGUGGGGAAUCUUGCGCAAUGGACGAAAGUCUGACGCAGCGACGCCGCGUGGGUGAUGAAGGCCUUCGGGUUGUAAAGCCCUGUGGGGAGGGACGAAUAAGUUUCAGCUAAUACCUGAAGCGAUGACGGUACCUCCUUAGCAAGCACCGGCUAACUCUGUGCCAGCCGCCGCCGUAA